rnacentral:rRNA from 1 species
AACGAACGCUGGCGGCAGGCUUAACACAUGCAAGUCGAGCGCCUCGCAAGAGGAGCGGCAGACGGGUGAGUAACGCGUGGGAAUCUACCGUGCCCUAAGGAAUAGCUCGGGGAAACUGGAAUUAAUACCUUAUACGCCCUUCGGGGAAAGAUUUAUCGGGGUAUGAUGAGCCCGCGUUGGAUUAGCUAGUUGGUGGGGUA